GUUAGGGUUUGUAUCAUCCUAAGAAUUAUGAGAAACUGUACACUAGCAAAAUAAUCAGUACAUGGAUAAUAUCAUGUUUUAGGUCUUUAUAAUCGGAUCUAUGAACACAACAAUCUAAAACCACCUGCAUCACUCCCUAACAUCCUUCGACAAACAAUUCAACCAUCAAUUUCAACAGAAAAACCUAAUAUUAAAAAAUUAAAAAAAAUUACAAAUCACAUGAAAUCUAAAUAAAAAAGGAAACAUGAUAAC
rnacentral:lncRNA from 1 species